AAAGUUCCCUUCGGGGAGCGAGUACAGCGGCGCACGGGUGAGUAACACGUAGGUAACCUACCCUGGGGAUCGGGAUAACCUGUCGAAAGACGGGCUAAUACCGGAUAAGACCACGGGAGCCUCGGCUCCUGAGGUAAAAGAUGGCCUAUGCUUGCAAGCUAUUACCCCGGGAUGGGCCUGCGCACCAUUAGCUAGUUGGUGAGGUAACGGCUCACCAAGGCGAAGAUGGUUAGCUGGUCUGAGAGGAUGAUCAGCCACACUGGGACUGAGACACGGCCCAGACUCCUACGGGAGGCAGCAGUGGGGGAUAUUGCGCAAUGGGCGAAAGCCUGACGCAGCGACGCCGCGUGGGUGAUGAAGGCCUUCGGGUCGUAAAGCCCUGUCAGGAGGGACGAAACCUCGCCACCUAUUAUGUCGGCGACCUGACGGUACCUCCAAAGGAAGCACCGGCUAACUCCGUGCCAGCAAGCCGCGGUAAUACGGAGGGUGCGAGCGUUUGUUCGGAAUCACUGGGCGUAAAGCGCGUGUAGGCGGCUUCUUAAGUCUGGUGUGAAAUCCCCGGGGCUCACCCCCGGAAGU
rnacentral:rRNA from 1 species